rnacentral:rRNA from 1 species
UACGUAGGGUGCAAGCGUUGUCCGGAAUUAUUGGGCGUAAAGAGCUCGUAGGCGGUUUGUUGCGUCGGCUGUGAAAUCCCGAGGCUCAACCUCGGGUCUGCAGUCGAUACGAGCAAACUAGAGUGUUGCAGGGGAGACUGGAAUUCCUGGUGAUAGCGGUGAAAUGACGCAGAUAUCAGGAGGAACACCGGUGGCGAAGGCGGCAUCCUGGACCGGCAUUGACGCUGGAGGCGACGAAAGCCUAGGGUAGCAAACGGG